rnacentral:lncRNA from 1 species
CGGGGGUCCGCUGCCCGGUCAGCGGGAACGGAUGUUCCGCUGCCUAGUCAGCGGAUGGUGGUUCUGCUGACCGUUCAACAGACGGGGGUCAAGGGGGCAGCGCCCCUAGCGGGGUUGUAGGGGUAGUGCCCCUGGCCAAAUUUUUUAAUGAAUAAUUCAUUUGAAAUCGACGUCGUUUUUCGCAUCAACACUUGAUACUUUAAAGCACAACUCUUGCGCAGUCACAACCCUAAUCGCAUAACUCUUUGAC